rnacentral:rRNA from 1 species
CCAGACUCCUACGGGAGGCAGCAGUGAGGAAUAUUGGUCAAUGGCCGAGAGGCUGAACCAGCCAAGUCGCGUGAGGGAUGACGGCCCUACGGGUUGUAAACCUCUUUUGCCGGGGAGCAAAGAGCGGGACGCGUCCCGCCUCGAGAGUACCCGGGGAAAAAGCAUCGGCUAACUCCGUGCCAGCAGCCGCGGUAAUACGGAGGAUGCGAGCGUUAUCCGUAUUUAUUGGGUUUAAGGGGUGCGCAGGCGGCGGCGCAAGUCAGGGGUAAAUUGGGGGGGCUCACCCUCUCCCCGCCGUUGAAACUGCGUUUCUUGAGUGGGCGAGAAGUACGCGGAAUGCGUGGUGUAGCGGUGAAAUGCAUAGAUAUCACGCAGAACUCCGAUUGCGAAGGCAGCGUACCGGCGCCCAACUGACGCUCAUGCACGAAAGCGUGGGUAUCGAACAGGAUUAGAUACCCCAGUAAU